rnacentral:rRNA from 1 species
AUUGAACGCUAGCGGGAUGCUUUACACAUGCAAGUCGAACGGCAGCGCGGACUUCGGUCUGGCGGCGAGUGGCGAACGGGUGAGUAAUGUAUCGGAACGUGCCCAGUAGCGGGGGAUGACUACGCGAAAGCGUAGCUAAUACCGCAUACGCCCUACGGGGGAAAGCAGGGGAUCGUAAGACCUUGCACUAUUGGAGCGGCCGAUAUCGGAUUAGCUAGUUGGUGAGGUAACGGCUCACCAAGGCGACGAUCCGUAGCUGGUUUGAGAGGACGACCGGCCACACGGGGACUGAGACACGGCCCAGACUCCUACGGGAGGCAGCAGUGGGGAAUUUUGGACAAUGGGGGCAACCCUGAUCCAGCCAUCCCGCGUGUGCGAUGAAGGCCUUCGGGUUGUAAAGCACUUUUGGCAGGAAAGAAACGUCGCGGGCUAAGACCCCGUGGAACUGACGGUACCUGCAGAAUAAGCACCGGCUAACUACGUG